rnacentral:rRNA from 1 species
GGAGUUAGCCGGUGCUUCUUCUGUGAGUGAUGUCCUUCCUGCCGGCUAUUAACCCGCAGGCCUUCUUCCUCACUGAAAGUGCUUUACAACCCGAAGGCCUUCUUCACACACGCGGCAUGGCUGGAUCAGGGUUGCCCCCAUUGUCCAAUAUUCCCCACUGCUGCCUCCCGUAGGAGUCUGGGCCGUGUCUCAGUCCCAGUGUGGCUGAUCAUCCUCUCAGACCAGCUACGGAUCGUCGCCUUGGUGAGCCGUUACCUCACCAACCAGCUAAUCCGACAUAGGCUCAUCCGAUAGCGCGAGGCCCGAAGGUCCCCCGCUUUCCCCCGUAGGGCGUAUGCGGUAUUAGCCUGGGUUUCCCCAGGUUAUCCCCCACUACCGGGCAGAUUCCUAUGCAUUACUCACCCGUCCGCCGCUCGCCACCAGGGAGCAAGCUCCCCGUGCUGCCGCUCGACUUGCAUGUGUUAGGCCUGCCGCCAGCGUUCAAUCUGAGCCAGAAUCAAACCUACUACGA